UAAUUCCCUCUGAUUUUUAGGCCUUGUCCGAGAUUCUUUGACCAAAUUGUCAAACUAGCUUAUAUUUUCCUUACCAUAUUUGUGCAUGAACAACCUUUAGUAUAUUUUCCCUAACUUAAGCUACUAUGUAUCUGACCCUUAUUGAAUAUUAUAUGCCUGUUACUCUUACUAGGGUAAAUAUAGUUAAUUGAUUUCUUUCCUUUUGAACCCUCUGUUUGUUACCGUUUGCCCUCGACUCCUUGAUUAAAGGGGAACCCUGAUACUAAUUGGAUUCUUGAUUGAAAGUAGUCCCUCAAUUAAAGAUUACUGUUUGUUUAUGCAUUCGUUUUCCAGUACUAUAAAUACCCUCCCCUUUUUCUUUGAAAGACACCAGCACACUGCAUAUCUCUCAAAACUUCAGACUCUCUGAAAUUCUCUCUUUCUCUGCUAUUACUAUACUCUCUCAUUCUAUUAUUUGAACACUCAAUUGGCUUAAAGCCAAGAUUGAGUAGCCUGGGUCGACUAUUUCUACAUUACUGGGCUUCAUUGUUUGUUUACUUGGGUUUUGCUACUACUGCUGUUAUUCUCAUACUGCUGAUGCACAUUGUUAUUCUCUUUGCACUAUUGCUCACUGCUAUUGUGUUCUAUUACUUGCAUCUGGUAUGUCACCCUUUUAAGAUAUAGCUUCCAGAACAUUAUGUUUCUAUUAAUUUUGCAUUUCAUAAUGUUUCUUGUGUGCUUUUACUUAUGGUAUUGUUGCUCUUUUGUCACUAGCAUGUUACUUACUAGUCUACUUGGUUUAGCUUAACAUGCUCCCUUUACUCCUUCCCUGUCUCAAUGAAUGUUUUCCUUCCCAUUGUGCACUACUAUUAUGUGUCCAGGGCUUCUUGGCUAGCCCAAAACCUCUGUUUAAGGCUAAGUGUAUUGGGGUUUGGUGCAGUAAGAACUGAACCCCUGAUUCUGCAACCAUGUCUGAUUACUUUCCUCCAAUAUGUUGUGGUUCACUUCACUUACUUGUUCCCUUCCCCUUUACCCCUGUUUGUGUGAUGUUGUGCCAAGCCCAAAUGAUUUCAGAAGAAUUUUUUAAUUAUUUCAACUAUUUUCUCAAACUGUCUCAAUUCUUUAACUAUUUUUCUCAAGAUGUCUCUCAAUUGUUUUUUUUAACUCUCUCAAUUCUAUCACAAUCUCACUACUCUUAGAACAUUAGGUUCUGCCCUCUUAGUGUAAGCAUUGCCUUAGGAUCCCUUGAGCCCCCAUUGAACUUUGAUGUACAAGGCGGCAUUUCCACACUUGCACUUGUCUAAUUAUGUUAUUUUGGGUGCUUGGUAUUGGCCAGGGGUUCAAACGAACCCUUAGGGAACUUUGCCGCACCCAAACCUUGGUAAUGGCUGUGAAACUCGAAAGGAGCGAGGUUGGAGAUGCUUGGACUGGCUGAAGGCUCUCUAUAGAGUAACUUCUUAUCUUCUUU
rnacentral:lncRNA from 1 species